CUAACCAAACACUGGAACAGUUUCUGCGUUGCUACAUUUCUGACCACCAGAACAACUGGUCUGAUCUGCUACCCUGGGCGGAGUUUGCCCACAAUAGUGCGAUUAAUGCCUCUUCCCGGCUAUCCCCGUUCUUGGCGAACUAUGGCUUUCAACCGUCCAUAUUGCCUGAUACGUUCAUGCCACAAGGGAUACCGGCAUUGGAGGAGCAUCUCAGGGAACUCCGUUCCACUUGGGUGCAGGUUCAUAACUCUUUGCAACGCGCAAUGCAGAACUACAAACUCCAGGCCGACCGCAGACGCCUUCCUGCACCUACCUAUCAAGUCGGAG